rnacentral:rRNA from 1 species
AGUGAACGCUGGCGGUAGGCCUAACACAUGCCAGUCGAACGGCAGCACAGUAAGAGCUUGCUCUUACGGGUGGCGAGUGGCGGACGGGUGAGGAAUACAUCGGAAUCUACUUUUUCGUGGGGGUUAACGUAGUGAAACUUACGCUAAUACCGCAUACGACCUACGGGUGAAAGCAGGGGAUCUUCGGACCUUGCGCGAUUGAAUGAGCCGAUGUCGGAUUAGCUAGUUGGCGGGGUAAAGGCCCACCAAGGCGACGAUCCGUAGCUGGUCUGAGAGGAUGAUCAGCCACACUGGAACUGAGACACGGUCCAGACUCCUACGGGAGGCAGCAGUGGGGAAUAUUGGACAAUGGGCGCAAGCCUGAUCCAGCCAUACCGCGUGGGUGAAGAAGGCCUUCGGGUUGUAAAGCCCUUUUGUUGGGAAAGAAAAGCAGCAGGUUAAUACCCCGCUGUUCUGACGGUACCCAAAGAAUAAGCACCGGCUAACUUCGUG